rnacentral:rRNA from 1 species
CAGGACGAACGCUGGCGGCGUGCCUAAUACAUGCAAGUCGAACGGUCUUUCUAUGGAAGCCUGCUUCCACUGAGAAGAUAGUGGCGAACGGGUGAGUAACACGUGGGUAACCUGCCCAUAAGAGGGGGGAUAACAUCCGGAAACGGGUGCUAAUACCGCAUAGUUUUCUUGAUCGCAUGAUCGGGAAAGGAAAGACGGCCUUUGUGCUGUCGCUUAUGGAUGGACCCGCGGCGUAUUAGUUAGUUGGUGAGGUAACGGCUCACCAAGACGAUGAUACGUAGCCGACCUGAGAGGGUGAUCGGCCACAUUGGGACUGAGACACGGCCCAAACUCCUACGGGAGGCAGCAGUAGGGAAUCUUCCGCAAUGGACGAAAGUCUGACGGAGCAACGCCGCGUGAGUGAAGAAAAGGUUUUCGGAUCGUAAAACUCUGUUGUCAGAGAAGAACAAGUUGGAGAGUAACUGCUCCAGCCUUGACGGUAUCUGACCAGAAAGCCACGGCUAACUACGUGCCAGCCGCCGC